rnacentral:lncRNA from 1 species
AGCUGAGUUAGUCUUUUGAGAUCUCUUGCCUUGGGGGUAACACCCAAAGUUUCUUUGCUGUGAGGACAGUGACGUGGGGCUUCUUCAAAUUUGUCUUCUGUCUUUUUUGCACUGUUAACAGGUACAAAACAAAGAAAUGAAGAUGUGUAAGACAAUACCUACAUUCAUCCUGUUGUUUACAGAGACAGGAAUUGCCGAUUCCUCCACAGCAAUAAGUAAUGCAUCUAUAUUAGUGGCAGGACUCAGCAUUUUCUUUGUGCUGUUCUUUCUUUGUGCAAGUCUUGGUGUUUGGAGUGCACGGAAAUUGUCGAAGCGAGAUUCAUUUGACGUUACUCCUGCUGCCCCAUCUGGUGAAGCUUAGGUGACCUUAAGAACAUCAAGACAUGAGAACCGAUGAGAAAAGAAGAAAUGAAAGUCCCAUUAGUUGGUAGCUAUUUAGAGGGCUAUUAUUUCCACAAGAGCAGAAUAUUAAAAAAAAAAAUAAAUUAUUGAAACUAAAGAAAUCUUACUUUCCAAAGUUGGCACACUUAAGUUAUGUCUAUACUAAUGAAUUAAACUUAGCACAGGAAUAUUGCAACUUCUGAGACUUAGCUGGAAUAAUCCUUGUUUAUGCUUAUGUUGUGUUCUACCUAUUGGGAACAGCUCCUAGAAGGCUCUAACUUCUAAGUAACAGUCAAGUUACAUGAAUAAACAGUAUUCCAGUAGAUGGGAGUUUCCUAGACAUUGUUUAAUUUAUUAGUCUAGAUGCAUAGCCUUAUUGUUUAAUGCUAUUUCUAAAUGAUAUGUUUGAUGUAUUACUCAUUUAGGGACUGGUAUUUUCAGUGAUUAAUCAAACCUCGCCACUGCAAACUUUAAUUUACUCACAGCACUGUGUUUGGCUGCUGCAUUGUAACUGUAAAAAGCUAGUCAUUUAAAUGUAAGUCUUGUUGUCAUAAGCUUAUUACAGUGCCUUAGGCUGGAGUGUAAAUCUACAGUUGAACUGUGUUACAUUUUCUCAGUUUGCAGAUGCUCCCAUGGGAAAGAAUAUUCUCUUGCCUUGACCUUGGGCAAAAGAUGAGCAUUCACACUGAGUGAUAGUGCAGCGUAAAAUCAUUCUGGCAUGUACUUCUGAGAAACUACAUAAGUUUAAGUGUGUGAAACCCAUGUUGUGACAAAACUACUACCCAAAUUCUGUAGCCCGAACAAAGGCAUGCUGUUGUUUUCAGCACAUCAUCUGUUUUAUAAGAGGCGGAGUAAGGAAAUUUCAGGAAAAACUAUUUUUAUAGAAUGUGAAAAAUAUGUUAAGACUUUGAUAACAUUUAUCCAUUAAAGUCAGCAACUCUCUCUCUGCGGUAUUCACUCCUCUAUAUAACUGAUGAACCUUUCUUAUACAAGUUCUAAUCCUUAAUAAUAAUAAUAAUCAUCUAGACUCAAAGCUGAAACCUAAAUUUUAUUGGAAGGAUACCAUCAUUAUUUUCCUAACUGAGUAGCACGUACUGUGUCAGAGACACACAGUGGCCGGUGACUGUGGUGGGGCUCUGCCUGAGCAAUGUGGGCAGUGUGGGGAAGAAGGGGCCAGCAGACGUUUGCCCAAAGAGCUGCGUUGCUAUAGCACGUCAGGAGAAAGAGAUCUGAAGAGGUAAGUCUGAGGCAGUCUGAGGUUGCUUUAUGAGAACAUUCCUGUGUGAGCUUUAGCAAAGGAACUUCAUUUCUGAAUUUGGGAGCCUGUAGUUCAAGACAAAAUUGUUAGCGUGUUUGUACCUCAUAUUUUUCUGUGAAGAUGAAUACUUCUGAGAGCAUGCAAUGUGUAGGUUCCACAGUAAUGAAGCUAUACUGAGAAGUGUACGUAUGAAGGAAAUCACAGAUUAUGUCUGCAAAUCAUACCAAGCCAGUUAUUUUUCUAGUAACAGUAGAGAAGAAUACUGUGCCAGCUUUCAGCUUGAAUUAUCAAUUGAUGUUCUAUGCAAAUAAAAACAUGCAAGUAUUUUUUUUGACAGUCUGCGUUUACUUCAUGAGUAAAUGCUUUACUUCAAUACGUUACUUUAUUUCAGAGAAGUAAAAUGUCUCUGUACAAAGUAAUGGUUGAAAAUUAGCCACUUUUUCUAUUUUCCCAAUACAGAAAGCUGUUUGUUGUGUCCAGUUAUCAGUUUAAGAAUGAGAUAAUUAUAUGAACUGUAUCUGCAGCAGUACUAUUUAGGAUGGGAGAGUUGUGCCAUAGCUGCCUUGUAUAUUAUUUUUUUAAAUGCACAUUGUAUGUGGUUGUGUUUUUUUUCCAUUAAAUAGGAGUUUAUUAUAUGCUUAAAUGCCUUCCUAGAUACUAGAUCAGGGUGCACUAGGCAACAAACUGAAUGUGGAAGAAAUAAGAAUAAACAUUUUUCUAUUUUCCAGGAAUAAUUAAUAUAAACCAUGUUUAUAUUGCUUUUUAUUAGAUAUCUGCAAACUUAAAGGUGAAUGACUCCACUUUUGGGAAUGUUUUUGUAGUGGCUGUAUUUUAUCUGAUCUUUUACAGAACUUCUUACUAGAAGUUUAAUACACUAGCUGUUAUUUUGUGUUCACUUUUUUGUUAUUGCAUUGUUUAAUGUUUGUGUAAAAUUCCCUCUAGCUUGGGUGACCAGUCCCAUGAGAGUGGAUGCUGAAUACUUAGCCAAUAAACUACCUGUGAACUUGAAAUUAUUUGGGUAAAUGAAGCCGGUGCAACAUUUGACCUGACACAUGCACUCACAAAGCUGUUUGCUUGGCUCAUUGUGCUGCAAUUUCAUUGUGUGCUGAUCAGCAGAGUCUGUCGUUACAUACGGAUGGAGUGGAUGACUGUAGCUGCUUGCUGCAAAACACUGGGGAGGUGGUAUGAAAAAGCAAGUUUAAGCAAUACAACAGCAGAAAAGCCUGUGGAGAAGGACCUGGGGGUCCUGGUGGACGAGAAGCUGGAUGUGAGCCAGCAGCAUGUGCUUGCAGCCUGGAAAGCCAACUAUGUUCUGGGCUGCAUUAAAGAAGGGCUGGCCAGCAGGGAGAAGGAGAUGAUUGUCCCACUCUACUCAGGUCUUGUGAGGCCCCAUCUGGAAUAGUGCAUCCAGGCCUGAGGCCCCCAGCACAAGGACAUGAAGAUCUUGGAGUGGGUCCAGAGGUGGACCACUAAGAUGAUCAGACGGCUGGAGCACCUCUCCUAUGAGGAAUGGUUGAGGGAACUGGGCUUGUUUAGCUUGGAAAAGAGAAGAUUUCGGGGAGACCUCAUUGUGGCCUUCCAAUACUCUCCAAUACAAGGGAGUGUAUAAACACGAGGGGGAACGGCUGUUUACUAGGGUGGAUAGUGAUAGGACAAGGGGGAAUGGUUUUAAACUGAGACAGGGGAGGUUUAGGAUAUUAGGAGGAAGUUUUUCACACAGAGAGUGGUGAUGCACUGGAACAGGUUGCCCAAGGAGGUUGUGGAUGCCCCAUCCCUGGAGGCAUUUAAGGCCAGGUUGGAUGUGGCUCUGGGCAGUCUAGUCUAGUGGUUGCAUGUAGCUUUAAUAAGUGAAAUGCCAAGGCUAAUUUUAGUGAACUACUUUGAAUGUAUCAGGUAUAUCUAGCAGCAGGUUUUUUUUACCUCCAUUUUAAACUAAAAGAAAAAAUAUUCUGGAGGGCCCUUCAGUUUAUAAUAGUCAGCUUGCUUUAAAUUUUAUUUUGUAGCUCCCUCCAGCAGAAAUGCUGAAAAUUGAACAGUAUAAAUUAGGUAGGUAAGUGCAGAGAUGUGUAAGUCAUUUUGAAAAUUUUCUGCAUUUCACAUACUCUGAUUAACAUAGUCGUGUGGUAUAUAUAGACUGUCAUGAGCUUACUGAGGAGAUUGCUUUCUGUCCAUUUGUUAAAGUUGUUUUGAAGUUGACUGUAGGAUGUGGAUUUUGACUGCCUUAAUGAAUCCUAUUCAACAGCAAAUAUUGCCAGGGAGGAUAUUGUAUCUCAGUAAUUGCACUCUAGGUGGAGAAAAAAUACCUCAGUUCUCCAGAAAAAUGAGAGGUAUAGUCAUAUAGAGUGUUACUUGCUGUACAGAACUGCAGAAGAUGCCAGUGAAGGUGCAGUAACAUGGUCAGUAGAGCCCUAAAGGUUAUGCUUUACUCCAGCUCUGGAAAAUUCUGGGUUCUGAGAAAGAUAAUCAGGAAAAUCACGGUGAGCAUCUGAAAAAAGCUCGGUCCCAGCAGAGCACCCUACAUAAGUCAGGAAUGCGUCAGUGUCUUCUCUCAUUGCAGUUUGCAUGCUGUUAGUCAUUCAAAGAUUCCCCAUAAGAGUAGAAUCACAUGCACUAACUGGAUCAGAAAGUUUCUUACAUGAGAACAUGUGCGCACUGAAUGGCUGAAGUUGGAAGGGACCUCUGGAGGUCAAAUGUGUGCAAGUAUUUUGUAUUUUUCUGUGACAAACAGAUAAAAAUUCAAUUCUAAAAAAAAAAAAUAAUCCAGCUCUCCCUCUUCUGUACAAAAUACAGAAUCAUCACUGCAAUUAGCAAAUCGGACUCAAACUAUGUAGAAGAAUCAAAUAUGUUUAUUCAGUAAGUGGCUGUAGCAGGCUUUCAGAUACAGAGCUACUGAAAAUGGAAAAGUCUAGUAUAGCAGUAAAGUACAGUGCUCUAGCACUUUCAAACAGUAAAUGGUGGUAGAUACAGUACUCUAAUUGUGAAUUUCCAAGGGUAAACCAGAUAUUGUUUUAUAGAAAUAUAUAUAUAUGCCGACAUUAUUUCUUCCUCAUUUAUAAUAUUUGGCUAAAAUCUAGUCUUUGUACAAUUUGUUAAUGGAGAAAUUCCUUUUAAAGUUUCAUUGUUAGGCAUAUUUAUUUCAGUGAAUACAAUUUCACAGUUGUCUAUUAUACUGAGUUUGCAAAAUGUCCUAAGCCAGUCAAAAAUUAGCCUCAGGUUUUUGCUCAUCACAAGUAAGCAUAGAUCUGGUGCCUGCAAGUGAAGUUAAAUGAAUGUCUCUCUCUGAAUAACACAAAGGAAAAAAAUAAUCUACCAUCCCUUGGUACACAUUUGCAGUUUUAACAGCAGAUGGGUCAGAUAUGGCAGGGUCUGCAUGUAUGAAUAGCAAUAUUGUUAUUCAUCCAUCAGCCUCAUUACACCUAGGCAGUCUGUCUGUGCCCUGUUAUAGGCCCUUAUUGUAACCUGAGAGUAUGUUUUGAUCAAGAUCCUGGCUUUAAAUAAGUACAUUUUAAGAUGGGAUUUUUGUGGGGAUGAUUAACGUGAUAUCCCAAAUUCUGAUCUUACAGUGAUUAGAGGGAGAAUGAAUUCAUCACUACUGCAUUUUGAAUCCUAGCACCUCGAAACACUCAUGUUACUCAGAAAUCUGGAUUUGCUUUUUUAUCUGCAUAUUGAAUUUCAAGACCGAUGGUAGACCUUGUUGAUAGAAAAAUUAUCUGUAAUCAUUGGAAGGAUUCCUAUAAAAACAGUGACAUGGCAAAAAGUUUUAUAAACACAGGAGGACGUAUCAACUUUGAAGUCUGUAUAUUCAGUACUAGACAAAUAGGAAGUUAUGGCUAGCUUAACUUAAUAGCUGAACAGAAACGGAACAGAGGAAAGAAACCUAUAAAACUAGAGUUAGGGGGUAGCAUGUUUAAGUUUUUCAAAGAAGAUUAUGAAUUCACGUUGUUCAAGCUUUGCAUUUUUCAUACAGUCAGGCAAGACUUAGAGCUGUGGGGAAAAAAAGGUACCUUUUAAAUGGUAAAUGGUACCUUUAUAUAUUAUUAAACUCUUAAAAAGUCUAUUACAAAAAUAUUUGUAGCACUUUUGUGAUAGAAAUAGACAAUGAUGAGCAUUUGGGUUUUCUAGUGACUGCAGAUUCCGUGUUUGAUUUUGCACAUGCUUUUGCAGGAGUAAGCAGUGUGCAUGAAGAGCAACAAACACAUUAGGAAGAUAGAGAAGGAUUAAGGUGAAGAGGUAGGGAGAGAGAAUUCCUUAAUUACUGCUCAAUUCAGCCCCUGAUUUUAAGUUAUUUUGAUGUAUUCACUAUUCCAGUUUAUAAAGUUUAUAAGGGUCUUGGGUUGAAAUGCAUCAUUUUUAAAAGCCAUUAAUGCAUUUAAGACCUUAAGUCACAGAUGGUUUGUGUGCUGCUGAAAUGAAAUUUAUUAAUGUAAAUUUGGUACCUCUUCGGCAAUGUACAUUUUUUUUUCUGGGAAUCCAAAUUGAUUUCUUCCUGCUGGGCUCCUGAUGAGUUUGUAUUAUUGUAGUUAAGAUGAAGAAACUUCAUUCUGUUCAUUUUAGGCUAAUCAAGCAAAAGUGAAAUACAAUUACUUGGUUGCAGGCUACUUAGUUAUUUGUCAGAAAACUUAAAUUGAUUUUAGAAAUGAUCAUAAGAGUUUUGGUAUCUUUCAGUAUCUAGAUCUCAGUUCUCUUUCACAGAUUUUACUAACACCUGUUCCGGCUAGUACCAAUAAAGAGCACAUCUUUUUUUUCCUGUGCAGGUGUAUUUGCUGGGAAGCCAAUAGAGGAAAUCAAGCACUUCUGUAUGUGCUAAUUAUAAAUACGAUAGGCAACACAACUGAAUUGCAUGUCAAUGCAAAAAUUAGUUGAAAAUUUAAUUUUGGAUGGAAAUUACCCAGAACAUCAAUAGAUGGUUUGGCAUCAUUUUUUUUUGGCCACAGUGAUUUUGCUUCUCAGCAAGCUAGAGCUUUCGGUUUGGUGCUCUGCCAAUGCCAUCUAAGACCAUAGGCCAUGAAUUCAUGGAAAAAUAGCAACCUGUAUGCCAAUUGAACUGUCUGCUCUCCUCUUACGAUCAGAGUUGUGUAACCUGCAAAAAUCCUGUCUUGUGAAUGUUUCUCUCACCUAUUCAAAUAAUUUACUUGCCCAUACAAACAUAGCAAAUAUCCAUAAAAGAGUAAAGGAAAGAUAUCUUGAAUUUGAAAUAAAAAUAAAGUUUCUGUAAUUAUUUGCUAGUCCUGAAAGAGUUUGUGGGGGUUAGCAGCAAAGCCCUUCGCUUACAUGCAUGUAAAUCAGAGCAAUGUAUUGUGUUGGAAAGGUUGUUUAUGGCAAACAUAGUUAUCCACUUCUCACAAAACACCUUGAAUCAGCAACUCAGGAUGUGACUGUGCAAAGCUAAUGGAUGGGUUGUAGAAGAGAAAACAACUACUGCAAGCAAGGAAAAAAGAAAAACAACAAAAAAAGCUGUACUUUCCAUCUUCCUGGCUCUAGAACCUUAAAACUUUCUUUCACUUCUGGUUUAAAUGCACCAUUAUUUCAUGGCUUAACGAAGGGCAUUCACAGAAGAUACAAGAAGUCAGAUGUACUGAUGAAUGGGGCCUAAAAAGGUCUUAGAAGGAAG